ACUUAGUGGCAGACGGGUGAGUAACAUGUAGGUAUCUGCCCUUUGGCCUGGAAUAACACGAGGAAACUUGUGCUAAUACCGGAUAAGUCUUUACGGAGAAAGCUUUAUGCACCAUUGGAUGAGCCCGCACUUGAUUAGUUUGUUGGUAGGGUAAUGACCUACCAAGACUAUGAUCAAUAGCUGAUUUGAGAGGAUGAUCAGCCACAUUGGGACUGAGACACGGCCCAAACUCCUACGGGAGGCAGCAGUGGGGAAUCUUGCACAAUGGAGGAAACUCUGAUGCAGCGAUGCCGCGUGAGUGAAGAAGGCCUUUGGGUUGUAAAGCUCUUUCGUCGGGGAAGAAAAUGACUGUACCCGAAUAAGAAGGUCCGGCUAACUUCGUGCCAGCAGCCGCGGUAAUACGAAGGGACCUAGCGUAGUUCGGAAUUACUGGGCUUAAAGAGUUCGUAGGUGGUUGAAAAAGUUGGUGGUGAAAUCCCAGAGCUUAACUCUGGAACUGCCAUCAAAACUUUUCAGCUAGAGUAUGAUAGAGGAAAGCAGAAUUUCUAGUGUAGAGGUGAAAUUCGUAGAUAUUA
rnacentral:rRNA from 1 species